rnacentral:rRNA from 1 species
GUGGGGAAUUUUGGACAAUGGGCGCAAGCCUGAUCCAGCAAUGCCGCGUGCAGGAAGAAGGCCUUCGGGUUGUAAACUGCUUUUGUACGGAACGAAACGGUCCGGGUUAAUACCCUGGGCUAAUGACGGUACCGUAAGAAUAAGCACCGGCUAACUACGUGCCAGCAGCCGCGGUAAUACGUAGGGUGCAAGCGUUAAUCGGAAUUACUGGGCGUAAAGCGUGCGCAGGCGGGUUUGUAAGACAGGCGUGAAAUCCCCGGGCUCAACCUGGGAAUUGCGCUUGUGACUGCAAGGCUGGAGUGCGGCAGAGGGGGAUGGAAUUCCGCGUGUAGCAGUGAAAUGCGUAGAUAUGCGGAGGAACACCGAUGGCGAAGGCAAUCCCCUGGGCCUGCACUGACGCUCAUGCACGAAAGCGUGGGGAGCAAACAGGAUUAGAAACCCCAGUAGUCC